rnacentral:lncRNA from 1 species
AUGCACACACGCAGCAGCGCUCUGCGAAAUGUCUGUGUUUCACGUGGUGCUGCCUAUUUGCCUGACGAAUCUCAAUUCCACCCCACUCUCCCUGCCCUUCUCUGUAGGAGCUGGAAGCCUGCAAACUACAUUUCCCAGAAUACCCAGCCAGCUUGCUUCCCAGUAGCCUCUGCCAAUGGGAAACACUGGUGGGAGCUUGGAAGGAGGGUAGAAGGGAGAAAGAAGCUGAUUUUAUUUCUCCUUCUGCUGAAGUCUCUGGCAGUGGCAGCAGUAGCAGCAGUUGCGGCAAUAGCAGUAGCGGCGGCGGUCAGAGUGGUACUACUGGGAGCGCCGAGGCGGUUCUCUGGAUGCACUAAACUACAGGGAUCCUUCUUUUGUACACGCUUGAAUAUUUAUCAUUAGGUUUGAUGUAGUGGAAAGACUCGUGGAUUUGGAACCGGAAACUCUGAACCAGAAGACACUUGUACAGGAGGAAAUGUAUGUUCCUCGCCCAUCCCAGGUUCAGGGCUGAGGCCCAUACAGGAAAAGACAGAUUAAGAAGAGAAAAGUAUACACAUUUAGUUAAUAUAAGUUCUACUUGACACGGGGGCCUUCAUAAGGAAAUGAAGACCCAGAGAAACAGUUCAACCUGGCUUCUUUUGUAUAGCAGGUGUGAUGAGGAGUGGCCGGGUGUGCGGAAACGUGAUAGGGGGAAGAGUGUAAUCUGAUGGUAAUAAACUGGAGGAAACUGAGCAAGGCCCGUUUGUUCAGCUUCUUCUGUCUCUUCAGAAAUAAGGAUGUUCCCUUUCUCCGGGUCUGGGGAGGGCAUUCCUCAAAGGAGGGUCCAAGCCUGGGUUUGGUAAACAGUUUUCAAUUCGAUGACUGUUAAUCAUUCAUUUAUCUGCAUGUUCAAUGACAUCAGUACUUGCUGUGUUCUUCCUAUGUGCUGGUCACCAGGUUUUAUAGAUGAACAAAAUGAAGCUCAGAGGAUAAUCACUUCUCCAGUGGCAGCUGCUAAGAAACAAAGCUGGGAUUUGACCUUCUGGUUCAGGAGAAGGUCAGAAAAUCCUUCCUAGGUUUUAUGACCUGAUUCAGGAGGAAAGGUGAGGGGAAAGGUGAGAGGGAGCUUCUUGCACGUGCCGUCUCUCAGAUUCUUUCAGCUUAAGAUAUUCAGUGUGUCAAGGUACCACAGUUUGGGGUAGCAUGUCCUGAACCCUGUUGUUACUUAACCAUUCUGAACCUAGAGCUAUCUUUUGUAAGAUGCAGAUAAUAUCUCACACCUUACAGGACAGUUUAAUCAGAGGAAUAAAUAAAAGUGCCUAUGCAGGUACCUGGAGCAUAGUACAUGCUCAAUAAAUGUUUUUGCUCUCAAUCUAAUUUUAAAAUUAAUUAUAUCGGUAUAAUCCUUGCGUGGCUCUUAUUUAAUUUUUAUGUUUGACUCCCCAAGGAAGUUGUAAAUACAUCCUUGAGGGAAGGGACCUUAGAUUGUCUUUUUUUGAAAAGUCAACAGCAGUAAGUGAAACAAAUCACUGUACGUUGAAUUUUUUUGUCAAAUGAGUGUCACUGUUUUCUAAAAGUACUUAAAAAACACUGGUAUUAUGCAACUUCCUCCUAGCUCUGGAGACAUCCUGGAGGUCACCCUUAUGACUCAACUAAGAAAGCCCCUCAGGACUGAGGAGGGGACAACUGGGAUGUAGUUGGAAAUUGAGAGGGUGAUGGAGAAAUCCACUCUGCGUACUGUUCUCUAGGAACAGCCGGGGCACACAUGCUGCUCUUGUUCAUCACCUCGUCAGCCAUGAGGCUGCCCCUUUGCUCUUGCUUUUAAUACACUAGCACCUGUGCAGGAAAACAGAAGAAAAGAACACACAUUCUUCAGGCGUUUGUGAUUCCUCCUGUGUUCAUUCGAGUGAACUAGAGAACCAGAGCUGGGAAAACCCCUGUGGCUAUGCAUGCAAAGGCACGCACACAGGUGACUCCUGUCUGGGUACUAGCUGGAACAACAAACACAAUGUUAUACGUUCUCUGAGGU